rnacentral:sRNA from 1 species
UCUUUCCAAAUCAGCAGCUCUGAGCAGGGGACAAACAGCUAGUGUUUAAACAAUGAAGAACUUUGAAUGAAGAAUUAAUGAGGUGGAGAAUCACUGCUUUAAAGCUGAAAGAAUUUCAUAACCACCCCCACAAUCAAACAAUUUCUAUUCAAAAUGGUCUCUCGGACUGAAGGAUGCAUCUGAUGUUUUCAGAUUUAAGUGGGCCCCCACCUCCACUACCCCUACUUCCGCUCAUGCCACCUCCGCACCCGGGACAAGGCUCACAAAAGCCAAUUUCCAGAGAAUGAAGAUGUAGUGGUACUUUCUGGAAUUAUCGAUCACAGUGAAACUCGGUUGAGCUCAAGCAAUUUCUCAUAUUUAAUGUCCAUUUCUCAAGACUUGGCCCAGGAUCCAAGGCAACACUUCCUCUCUCUGCAACUUGCUUUAAUCAGAAUCAUGAACAAUGCUGCAAACAAGUCGUGAGCUCGCUCUUUCUACCAACCCCAAUGUUAAAUAGUGCACCGCUGCCUCGUUUUAGCCAAUAAGCCUUUGCAUUGGAGCCUCUGGCUUUCCUGGUUGUCCUUAAUUAGAGCUCUUCAUCGUUUCCAAGAUCUCAAAAGACAAAGUGAGAAGACUUCACUGCUUUAAACCUAAGUUCAACAGAUAGGAAAUUUAUAGCCUGCAAAAUAAGUAGCCAGUGUCUAGUACACAGACGGAUGAAGUUAGAACCCCUUCAAGAGAACAGUGAAGAGAGAAAAAGGCAAGAAAAGGGCUUCCAUAGUCAUUUAUUGACUAUUAAAGUACUACCUCAGUCUCAGGUGUGGUUACCAGAGGCUGAAGAGUCUAAUGAACAGCUGGACAGCCCGGCUUCAGCUAGGUUGUCCCUUCUAAAGUUUGGAGAACUUCCCAAGAUAACACCACCAUAUGGGAAUCAAGUGUUCAUCACAUGAGCCUGGAAGGACCUUUCCGGUCAAACCAAAAUGGCUGGAUUAGAAGAGGUUCUCAAAGGUGCAGGGUCUGAGAGGACGUAGCUGAGAUAAUAGACUAGGACUCUGGGGGAAGUCCUGAAGUCGAUGACUGUUUCCCAAUGAGUGUGUAAUCAUUUCAAUAUCCCAACAAGCUGUGGAGCUUACUAUAAAUAAGAUGAUGGUCAGCCCCGAUUUUAUUGAAAGCAAAAGAGAUUAAUGUAAAAUGUGGCUGUUGUCGAAUACAGUAGCUCUCGCUGCUGUUCUCAGGCGGCGCCUCUAGUGCCCAGCAAUUGUCUCCACGGCAACUACUUAACGUUUUUCUAAGUCUCAGAUUGUAAGCAGGUGGUGAAGAAGUAAGAGUGAAGGCAAGAUUUUACAAGACAAGAAUUUCUUUUAAACACACACAAAAAAGUUUCUAAUAAAAACGCAGAUUCUUUGAUUUCUAUCUAUAAAGACUCGGCUUGCUGAAGAGAAAGCCGAACCCAAGCUGGGAAAGCAGAGAGGGCUGCUGGGAGCAGAGGUGCAGGCUGAGGAGGGGCAGAGAUAGGUGAGCAGAGGAAGAAGAGACAGACUGAGUGCCACUGAUGCUAGCUGAACCUCAUCAGUUCCCACUCCAUCAGACACAGCCAGGGACAUUCCCACCCUGCUUCCUGGUGGCAGAAAGCGACUCGCUGAAGAGCAGAGUAAGUCAGGGACAUGUCUCUGAUAAACCUGUCUCCUUUUGUUAUGUGGCCUUCUUUAUCUAGUUCUUACUGAGUUCAGCUCAUGCCUGAGUACAUUGUUGAACUCGAAGUGCCGUCAGGUAAAGGUUUCUCCCUUUUCUUUCACCUCCAAACUCUGUCUACCACAGAGCGCGACAAAUUUAUGGCAUAGCUCCUCAUUUACUUCUUAAACGUCUUUUCCCUCUUGCUUCUUUAAGCAAAUGAGAUGGCAGAGUGAACGCUGUAAGUACAUGUCUCUGAGCUCACUUUGCUUCCUAGCUCCUCAGCAGAAAUGAACACUGAGCAAUGAUCACCAAGUAGAGUCAUCCAAGAUGUGGAAGAUCAGAAUCUUCGGUGGCAGGUCACAUCAGGUCUAUCCCAGAAAUGUAGUAGACCACCUGCACCUGAACAAGGGAAGGCGUCAGCUAAAAACAUCCCCUAACUUGGAAGACCUCUGUGGAAGCUGGUAAACGUUCAGACGGAAAAGAAGUUUACACUUUUGAGAGCGACUGGAGCAAAGUCAACAUCAGUUACUACAAUGGCGGUACAUCUCCUUUGAGACUCAUAGGACAAGGAGGGUAAGAGGAACCAUUCAACUGCAGCCCAUCUGAUACAAAUAUGUGGUCUCUAGUUACAUUGUGUCUGUUGUGCACCGUGAGGAAAGGGAGAGAAUACACCAGUGGACAUCUGGACCAACAAAAUCUUUUCUAUUCCCACUAUAUAUGCAGAGUCACUGACUGAUCUUCAGAGCCACAUAAGGAUUCCAGAGCCGUGUUUUUUCUGGGAACCCGGAGUAGGGGCUGAAGCACUGUUUAUAAGCAUAAAAUCCACAGUUAUCUGAGACAUGUUACAGUUAUAAUUUUACCAAUCAGAACUCUGAGAUUAGGGACUUUCCCAAGUAUUAAGUGGGAUUGAAUGUUAAGUGUUCUUGCCCAACCAACAAAUUCAUUUGUUUAUUUUCUGUUGAUUGGAACAGGCGUUGUAUUUUGGGUAACGAUUGUUGCUUAAGGAGGGGGUGGGUAACAGGUCUGAUUUGAGGAACUAUUGUUGCUUACAAAGGGAGUUGAUCAUCUUAGAUAUAAUGAAAUCUGAAGUGAAAAUGGCAGUACUUGAGACAAGUUCCUUCUGUCUGUUCCCAACAUAGUAGGUAGAAAUCAUAUUACCACUGCACAUUUAUCUGCUUCUCAGGUUCAGGGAUUUUUUGAUAUCCUACUGGACACUUGCAUGCAAUUGUCCUGAUGUGGAUUAGGAAAAAUAUCUCAGAAUGCAACAAAUUCACACUAUCUCAGUGGCUGGUGGUGGAGCCAAGAGCAACCUUAAUACAGACCAGGUCAAUGGACUUUUCCCUGCUUCACAAGAAAUGGAAGGUCCAUGAAAUAGACUACAGGAAGGAAGUAGGAGACCUAGAGGAGCAGGUGGCUAUCUUCAAGGAUGAUGUGUCCAGUCCUGUGGCAAUCUCUCAGUUGGAGCUACCCUCCACUAUGCUCUCUUAACUCACGGAUACAUUCCUGGCCCAAUCACUUUACACCUCAACAAUGUAAAUGUUGGAGCAGUAGUAGUUGCCAGUACCAUACCACGAGGGGACAUGAUAAAGCAAAAGAGUGGUCAACAAACCCCUCGUCUUUGCAGAGCCAUCAUGAGAAUUUACACUGGGAAGUCUAUGACCUGUCUGUCUAGUCAUGGCCUUUUAUUGUCAAAUAAUUUCUGAGGAUUUCAAGAAUAAAAUCAGUCUCACCCCUCGUAACAAGAAAAAGAUAACACAAGGUGAAAAAUUUGAGGGUAUUUCAAACUUCUAAACUGGCUGGAGACAUGGCUAAUGGUUAAGAACACUGAACUCAAGACAACCUGGGUCCACUUCCCACCAUCUACAUGGCAGAGAAAAGGAAGGAAGGAAGA